rnacentral:rRNA from 1 species
GUGGGUGGCAAGCGUUGUCCGGAAUUAUUGGGCGUAAAGCGCGCGCAGGUGGUUCUUUAAGUCUGAUGUGAAAGCCCCCGGCUCAACCGGGGAGGGUCAUUGGAAACUGGGGAACUUGAGUGCAGGAGAGGAAAGUGGAAUUCCACGUGUAGCGGUGAAAUGCGUAGAUAUGUGGAGGGACACCAGUGGCGAAGGCGACUUUCUGGCCUGUAACUGACACUGAGGCGCGAAAGCGUGGGGAGCAAACAGGGAUUAGAUACCCUGGUAGUCCACGCCGUAAACGAUGAGUGCUAAGUGUUGGGGGGGGUUUCCGCCCCCUCAGUGCUGCAGCUAACGCAUUAAGCACUCCGCCUGGGAUACGGUCGCAAGACUG